rnacentral:rRNA from 1 species
GACGAACGCUGGCGGCGUGCUUAACACAUGCAAGUCGAACGGAAAGGCCCUGCUUUUGUGGGGUGCUCGAGUGGCGAACGGGUGAGUAACACGUGAGUAACCUGCCCUUGACUUUGGGAUAACUUCAGGAAACUGGGGCUAAUACCGGAUAGGAGCUCCUGCUGCAUGGUGGGGGUUGGAAAGUUUCGGCGGUUGGGGAUGGACUCGCGGGUUAUCAGCUUGUUGGUGGGGUAGUGGCUUACCAAGGCUUUGACGGGUAGCCGGCCUGAGAGGGUGACCGGCCACAUUGGGACUGAGAGACGGCCCAGACUCCUACGGGAGGCAGCAGGGGGGAAUAUUGCACAAUGGGCGGGAGCCUGAUGCAGAAACGCCGGGUGCGGGAUGAAGGCCUUCGGGUUGUAAACCGCUUUCGCCUGUGACGAAGCGUGAGUGACGGUAAUGGGUAAAGAAGCACCGGCUAACUACGUG